UACAUUUGAGGUUAAACUUGACAAUCAGGGAUUUAUUUGACCGACAGAGACAAACUUGAGGGACCAAAACAUGAGUUUUAUUAGUUAUGGGACCAAAAUGAAAACUGGAAAUUAAUUAGAGGACCAAAUGACCUAUUAAGCCAAAAUUUGAUUCUAAAAAGCACUUUGAAUUUCUGCACUGAUUUGAUAUAUCUUAGAAAUUCUUAAGUCUAAAGUAUAUUAUUGCAUUGUAUUGUGAAAACCACUGAUUGUAUAUCAAGUGUUCAAGUCAAACAAUUUUCUGUGUAAUUCUGUUUGAUUAGAAGUCUCUUGCUUUAGUGCUUGAGCAUUGGAAGUCUCUCGCCUGCGUGCUUGAGCAUUUGGGAAGUCUCAUACUAGAUAGUAUUGAGCAGUUGUAAUCUGUGUGAUUAUUUCUUAGUGGAAAUCUCCUUGGAAGUGCAAGGGGGACUGGACU
rnacentral:lncRNA from 1 species